rnacentral:rRNA from 1 species
ACAAUGGGCGCAAGCCUGAUGCAGCCAUGCCGCGUGUGUGAAGAAGGCCUUCGGGUUGUAAAGCACUUUCAGUAAGGAGGAAAGGUUAGUAGUUAAUACCUGCUAGUCUGUGACGUUACUGACAGAAGAAGCACCGGCUAACUCCGUGCCAGCAGCCGCGGUAAUACGGAGGGUGCGAGCGUUAAUCGGAAUUACUGGGCGUAAAGCGUACGCAGGCGGUUUGUUAAGCGAGAUGUGAAAGCCCCGGGCUCAACCUGGGAACUGCAUUUCGAACUGGCAAACUAGAGUGUGAUAGAGGGUGGUAGAAUUUCAGGUG